rnacentral:rRNA from 1 species
ACGCUGGCGGCGUGCCUAAUACAUGCAAGUCGAACGAGAGCGACCGGUGCUUGCACUGGUCAAUCUAGUGGCGAACGGGUGAGUAACACGUGGGUAACCUGCCCAUCAGAGGGGGAUAACAUUCGGAAACGGAUGCUAAAACCGCAUAGGUCCUUUAACCGCAUGGUUGAAGGAGGAAAAGAGGCGCAAGCUUCUGCUGAUGGAUGGACCCGCGGUGCAUUAGCUAGUUGGUGAGGUAACGGCUCACCAAGGCCGUGAUGCAUAGCCGACCUGAGAGGGUGAUCGGCCACAUUGGGACUGAGACACGGCCCGAACUCCUACGGGAGGCAGCAGUAGGGAAUCUUCCGCAAUGGACGCAAGUCUGACGGAGCAACGCCGCGUGAGUGAAGAGGGUUUUCGGAUCGUAAAACUCUGUUGUUAGAGAAGAACAAGUGCUAGAGUAACUGUUAGCGCCUUGACGGUAUCUAACCAGAAAGCCACGGCUAACUACGUGCCAGCAGCCGCGGUAAUACGUAGGUGGCAAGCGUUGUCCGGAUUUAUUGGGCGUAAAGCGAGCGCAGGCGGUUCCUUAAGUCUGAUGUGAAAGCCCCCGGCUCAACCGGGGAGGGUCAUUGGAAACUGGGGAACUUGAGUGCAGAAGAGGAGAGUGGAAUUCCAUGUGUAGCGGUGAAAUGCGUAGAUAUAUGGAGGAACACCAGUGGCGAAGGCGACUCUCUGGUCUGUAACUGACGCUGAGGCUCGAAAGCGUGGGUAGCAAACAGGAUUAGAUACCCUGGUAGACCACGCCGUAAACGAUGAGUGCUAAGUGUUGGAGGGUUUCCGCCCUUCAGUGCUGCAGUUAACGCAUUAAGCACUCCGCCUGGGGAGUACGACCGCAAGGUUGAAACUCAAAGGAAUUGACGGGGACCCGCACAAGCGGU